GACUAGGCUUAAGUGCCAGCGAAGUAUCCAAAUUCCUGAUCCUUUCCCCAGCUGUUACUUUGUUAACCCCUGCCUUCCUGCAGAACACUGACUUGGCCUUUUCCUGCUGAGGGUCUGAGACAGCCGUGCUAUAAUUAAUGAACGAAUGUCUCCCCAGCCAGACUGUAAGCUCACCAAGGACCUCUCCCCACCCUCACUGGUCUCAUUUACACAUUAUAACUGCACCUGGGACAGAGUAGACAUUCAAUAAAAUAUGCUAGAUGGCCUGAGAUGGAUAAAUUACCUCUCUAUCCUAAAACUCCACAUAUGCACAGAAUUUCAGGGUGUUCACAGUUCCCUUAGUAUUCAUGAAUGCUGGGUAAGAACCACUGUCCUUAAAAGACCUUGGGGGUUAUCUCUGAGGGGAGCUGGGGAGCUGGGAAGAUCUGGGCUCCUUCUCCACGGAGACCCUAAGCAGUGGGGAGUUUUUCUGAGGUCCGCCCCCCACUGGUACCUGUUGAUGAUGUUGGGCAGGAAGCAGAAGAAGAACUUCUCAGGGAUUGGGAUGAAGGGCAGCAGCCCCAGGUAGUAGGAAAGCAGCACCCAGAAUCCUCGGCUUAUUGUGAAGGACAGGGGCAUCUCGGGGUUCUGGGGAGGCAAGGAGAGGCAUGAGAAUCUGUCUGCUCUGGGGAAGCAGAGAGGAGGCAUGAGCUGCAGGGGAGCCGUGGUGGGCAUUCCAGAGGCCCUACUACCUGCAGGAUCCAAGUCACAUCUUGGGGCUGGGUGUGGUGGCUCACGCCUGUAACCUCAGCAGUUUGGGAGGCUGAGGCAGGUGGAUCACCUGAGAUCAGGAGUUCAAGACCAGCCUGGCUAACAUGGUAAAACCCCAUCUCUACUAAAAAUACAAAAAUUAGCUGGGCGUGGUGGCGUGCACCUGUAAUCCCAGCUACUCGGGAGGCUGAAGCAUGAGAAUCGCUUGAACCCAGGAGGCAGAGGUUGCAGUGAGCCGAGGUCGCACCACCGCACUCCAGCCUGGGCGACAGAGAGAGACUGUGUUUCAAAAAAGAAAAAAAACAAAAGUC
rnacentral:lncRNA from 10 species